UGUUUGUGACCAGCUGGGAAAACAUGGUCAGCGCUGAACUGAGCUGAAGAGUUGGUGGAGACACAUGGUACAAACCCUGGCAGUGGCUGAAGAUUCAGGAAAACCUUUGUGGAAACAGAGACUGUCAAGAGUCAGACUUCUGAACAGGAAAGCCAAGCAAAAUAAAAACACUUCCUGUCUUUUGAGUCUGCGGAGCUCCCUGAAGGCUUGCUCCUGACAGGGAAGAGCUAUGGAGAGUGUACUGACCCAGGACUGUGCUCAAGGCACAGAAGGUUCCUGUCCGUCCUGCCCCGGCACUGAAACAGAGCAGAGACACUUACCACACCUGCUGCCUGAAGCUGUCCAUCCUGAGGGUUCUGUCAGCAUUACGAUAGAACAGGACUUCCACUCCCAGAUCAUUCGCCAGAAGUCCUCAAUCGUGUGGAGAAGAGGGCCCUGGCUGGCAAUGUAGGAGUCUUUCUGCCGGUAGCCCUGUAUGGGUCAGGCAUGUGAGGGAGGCACUGGGAACUCCAUGGACACCCAUGGGACAUAAUCCACCACUUACAUCAAUGAAGGAUGCGUUCACAUAGUCUGUGUUCUCUUCGCCUCGUUUGACUGGAAUGAUCACUCUGUUAAAUUCAUCUGCAAGGAGGACAAGGAAUGGCUUGCAGCUCACCAACACUCACUCCUCUUAUCAAGCUCGUUUCCUGUGCGCAUCUUGUCAUUCUGGAUUUUGAUUGAAGUUAAUUUCUGAAUGAAGAAAGAAGAGUGACUACUCCUCCCAGUGAAGAACCUGAGAGACGCCUGCCAGUCACUAAGACCACACCUCCAGGCCCUGACUUUCUUCCCUACAGUGCUCGGCUCCAUUUCCAGAUGUCAUUUCUGGCUUUAAGUUUAGUAAGAAGUCAAAAGAAUGUUUGAGAGGCAACACCUUCUAGGCUCCUGUGGAACUUCCUGAGAUUCCUCUAACCCUGAAUUUUUUGGGCCACUUUUCUGCCAUUUAGAAAAAUAUUCAAAUUCUAUUCUUUCUUCCUGGUUCUGAGGUUGUUUCCUUGUCUGCUUGGGUAUGUUCCUUAAGGU